rnacentral:rRNA from 1 species
CAGCCGCCGCGGUAAUACGAAGGGGGCUAGCGUUGCUCGGAAUCACUGGGCGUAAAGGGUGCGUAGGCGGGUCUUUAAGUCAGGGGUGAAAUCCUGGAGCUCAACUCCAGAACUGCCUUUGAUACUGAAGAUCUUGAGUUCGGGAGAGGUGAGUGGAACUGCGAGUGUAGAGGUGAUAUUCGUGGAUAUUCGCAAGAACACCAGUGGCGAAGGCGGCUCACUGGCCCGAUACUGACGCUGAGGCACGAAAGCGUGGGGAGCAAACAGGAUUAGAUACCCCCGUAGUCCCUGUCUCUUAUAC